UACGUAGGGUGCGAGCGUUGUCCGGAAUUACUGGGCGUAAAGAGCUCGUAGGUGGUUUGUCGCGUUGUUCGUGAAAACUCACAGCUCAACUGUGGGCGUGCGGGCGAUACGGGCAGACUGGAGUACUGCAGGGGAGACUGAAUUCCUGGUGUAGCGGUGGAAUGCGCAGAUAUCGGGAAGAACACCCGUGGCGAAGGCGGUUCUCUGGGACGGUACUGACGCUGAGACGCGAAAGCGUGGGGAGCGAACAGG
rnacentral:rRNA from 1 species